rnacentral:rRNA from 1 species
AAUAAGACUUUAAUUGAGUGCUAAAAGAAUGGAUUUUCAGAAAAUUUCUUUUUUAAAAUUAAUAAUUUAAUUUAUUUUUGUAUGUGAAGAAACAACAAUAAAAAUUAAGGACAAGAAGACCCUAAGAAUUUUUAAAAAAAUAAUUUUAAAUUUAAAAUUAUUUUUUUUAAUUGGGGCGAUUAAUAAAUAUAAUUAACUUUAUUUUAUAUAAAUAUGAACCAUUAUUAAUGGUUAAAUGAAUAAAAUACUCUAGGGAUAACAGCGUAAUAAUUUUUGAUAGUUCCUAUAGACAAAAUAGUUUGCGACCUCGAUGUUGGAUUAGGAUUCUUAUUUAAUGAAGAAGUUAAAAAAAGAAGUUUGUUCAACUUUUAAAUUCCUACUUGAUCUGAGUUCAGACCG